rnacentral:rRNA from 1 species
GACGAACGCUGGCGGCGUGCUUAACACAUGCAAGUCGAACGGAAAGGCCCUGCUUUUGUGGGGUGCUCGAGUGGCGAACGGGUGAGUAACACGUGAGUAACCUGCCCUUGACUUUGGGAUAACUUCAGGAAACUGGGGCUAAUACCGGAUAGGAGCUCCUGCUGCAUGGUGGGGGUUGGAAAGUUUCGGCGGUUGGGGAUGGACUCGCGGCUUAUCCGCUUGUUGGUGGGGUAGUGGCUUACCAAGGCUUUGACGGUUAGCCGCCCUGAGAGGGUGACCGGCACAUUGGGACUGAGAUACGGCCCAGACUCCUACGGGAGGCAGCAGUGGGGAAUAUUGCACAAUGGGCGGAAGCCUGAUGCAGCAACGCCGCGUGCGGGAUGACGGCCUUCGGGUUGUAAACCGCUUUCGCCUGUGACGAAGCGUGAGUGACGGUAAUGGGUAAAGAAGCACCGGCUAACUACGUG